rnacentral:tRNA from 1 species
CGGGGCGUGGCGCAGCUUGGUAGCGCGUUUGGUUCGGGACCAAAAGGCCGGAGGUUCAAAUCCUCUCGCCCCGACCA